rnacentral:lncRNA from 1 species
AGUUUACUCUUCAAGGACAACACCUGAGAAGGGGAGAGUUUCUUUUCUCCUUUUUUCCUUCCCUGCCAGUUGUUAUCACGGAGUCUAGUUGGUAACUUAUCUUAAAAAUGUAAACAUCUCUGUGAAGCCCAGCUCAAGGCCAAAAGCCUUGUUUGCACAUUUCUACAAACCACUAUACUGGAUAUGUGUGCGGAAAAACUAGUAAGUGGGUUGCAGCACCUGGAGUGCUGGUAUCUUCUCGGCCAGUGGCCAAGUAAAACAGGGCUACAGGGAAAUAGGAAUCUACCUAGAACUCUUUUGCAGAGGCUCUAUUGCUGACAGUCCUGAAAUCAAGCAUGGUGAAGAUUUCUGGAGAAUCGCAGUUAAGACUUUUCUGUGGAGAAAGGGGGUGCCACUUCAAUUACCCCCUUUAAUGAUGGUCUCCAUGAUUUAAUCCUUUAAAUUUAAGAGUACCAUUACCAUUAUGUUGGCUUAAAGCCUUCUACAAGGUAAAAACCAGAGUUGUUGUCAUCCAUUCAACAGCAGCUUCUAUAGUGUACCCAAUAGUUUUAAUGCACAGUGGAGCCAAAUAUGGCAGCAAUAAACAGGUUAACAGCAGAAAACCCACUAUAUCAGUUAAGCUUUUAAAUCUAGGGUUGACAACCAUCUCCCAAAAGCAUGUUUGGGACCCAGACUUUUAUGCCCUUCUAGAUAUGAACUCCAUAUGUGCUAGUUCUCUUGUGCUAUUGGCUAUAUAACUGUUUGUCUAUUGCCAUCCAUUUGAAUGCAACAAUCUGAGCUGUUGCUCUUUCCACAUAUUUCUCUUUCCUCAGCCAGUAGGUAAUCUAAUGCCAAGCGUUUUUGAUAGUUAGCCACUCACAUCUGGUCUGUUGUGUGGCUAGGAGGCCAAAGGCAGUGGCAGUCUGAUUAAUAAUAAUUUCUAGUACAGCUUGUAAGUGAAUAAUCCUGUUUAACAGGUAAAUAGGAUUUCUUUAACUCCAACUGCCAUUUUGUGCCCAGGUAGCCAGACCAUAAGUGGCAAUAAUCCUCUGGGGUGGCCAGUUAUCUUCACCCCAAGAUUGGUGACCUCCUAAAUCAAGUUUCUUCCCAAUGGACCUCUUUCGUCUUUCCAAACAGUCAUCCAUCUAUAGCAUUCCUCUAGCAGGACAGGUCCUCAAAAUGUGUUUUACCAUAUUGUCUUGACAUAUGGUUCACGUGAUCUCCAUGGUUGGAAUAGGAGUAGGUCAGAACCCCAUAUAGCAGAUUGUCUUGACAUAUGGUUCACAUGAUCUCCUUGGUUGGAAUAGGAGUAGGUCAGAACCACUUAAGGUUAUCAAAGAAAACUAAACUAAAUAAUAGACUAACAUUUCAGUUAGCAUAGGUUAAACAACAUAAAUUGGGGCUGGGGUUGUGGCUCAGAGGUAGAGCGCUCGCCUAGCAUGCGUGAAGCACUGGGUUUGAUCCUCAGCACCACAUAAAAAUAAAACAAAGACAUUGUGUCUACCUAUAACUAGAAAAUAAAUAUAAAAAAACAGCAUAAAUUAACAAAUCCAAACUAAUAACACCAAACAAAUCCUAGAAAAUUUAUAUAAGCAAGAUAAAAAAAAAGGAUAAAUGAUUUUUUGUUACCCAGUGUCCAGUCAGUAGGAGUUAGUUAUCAAACCAGUAGCAAAAAAACAGAGAAAUAUAUAUAUAUAAACAAGGGGUGACAAUGGAUUAUAGUAUAAGAACUAUCUUAAAGGUUGAAAGAGUUAAUUAGUCCUGGUGGGAAGUUUAUCUUUCACCAUGCAUUGAUCAGCCAGUCCCUCCUGUGUGGCUGAAACAGGGCCAGUGUACUGAACCCCCUGCCCCAGCGCUGACCCUUGGCUUGCCAUUCCCUUGCCUGGCUCCUCAAAUGAGACUCUGGUGGCCCUUCUUGCUUCAUGUGUCCAUAGGCUUGGACUGCAGGCCUCUCCAUUGGGCCGCUUCCCCACUCUUAUUGGCUUCCCUGCACCUCAGAUCCCUAGUGCCGCCCGCCUGCAUGGCCCUGUCCUUCCAUUCUCUCCCCUGACCUGGGCCCUCCUUUAGGUCCCUAUCCUGGGCUCCUUUCUGGGAUCCUGGCCCCUACCCCACCAACACCCUUCCUCUGGCCAUUCAUGCUGUGCACUCUUUCAGCUCUUCUGUUGUUCCUGUCCCUGUCAGGCCUUUUUUCCAGAUCCCUUUCCCAUGAUGGUCACCAGGGCCAGGGCACUGGACCUGGGGGUGUGGUACUUCGGGCUCCUUUUGGGAAAAUGUAGCCCUGUCCCAUACCUAGGCCCUUUGGCCUCCCUCAGCCCAGGCCCUGCUCCCCAACCCUGACACCCAGCAGUAAACCUGGGCCUUGAGCCCUCCUCUCUCUGCACUACCCACUCCCAUUUCUCUCCUCCCUCCACAGCCAUGUCCACUGUCCUAAUGAAGUGGCAACCCCUUUCUCCACUGAAGUCUUAACUGGCCCUCUUCACCCAGACUGAUUUUAGGUUAGGACUGUCAGCAAAAGAGUCUCUGCAAAAGAGUUCAAUGUAGAUAAACUUCCUAUUUUUGUGUUGCCCUGUUUAGUUGCCCACUGGCAGGGAAGAUACCAGCACUCCAGGUGCUGGACACCCCCUUACUAGUUUUUCACAAACAUAUCCAGUAUAGUACUUUGUAGAAAUGUGAAAACAAGGCCUUUGGCCUUGAGCUGGGCUUCACAGAGAUGUCUACAUUUUUAAGAUAAGAGAAGUUGCCAACUGGGCUCUAUGGUAACAGCUGGCAGGGGGAGAAUAGAAAGGGGAGAAGAAGUUUUCUCCUUCUUGGGUGUUGUCCUUGAAAAGUUAACAUGCCCAGAACAGUGAAAGUAAAA